rnacentral:antisense_RNA from 1 species
ACCGACAUCAGGGAUUCGUUCUGGGAACCAUUUCCCACCGCGAGGUAGGAGUGCAUGCCCAGCUCUUUCAUCUGCUGCUCGCCAAUCACGCGGGUGAUGACGUUUUUGCUGUAAGAGUCGGCCAACUGACGCGCCUGCGAGGCCAGAUAGCCGGCGUUACAGAUGUUUGGUGGCAUAUUACCCAGAUCUUUCGC